rnacentral:rRNA from 1 species
GACGAACGCUGGCGGCGUGCUUAACACAUGCAAGUCGAACGAUGAACUUGGAGCUUGCUCUGGGGGAUUAGUGGCGAACGGGUGAGUAACACGUGAGUAACCUGCCCUGGACUCUGGGAUAACUUCGAGAAAUCGGAGCUAAUACCGGAUAGGACCUUGCACCGCAUGGUGUGGGGUGGAAAGUUUUUCGGUUUGGGAUGGACUCGCGGCCUAUCAGCUUGUUGGUGAGGUAAUGGCUCACCAAGGCGUCGACGGGUAGCCGGCCUGAGAGGGUGACCGGCAGCACUGGGACUGAGACACGGCCCAGACUCCUACUGGAGGCAGCAGUGGGGAAUAUUGCACAAUGGGCGCAAGCCUGAUGCAGCACCGCCGCGUGCGGGAUGACGGCCUUCGGGGUGCAAACCGCUUUUAGUAGGGAAGAAGCCUUCGGGUGACGGUACCUGCAGAAAAAGGACCGGCUAACUACGUGCCAGCCGCCGCGGUAAUAC